AGUGGGUCAGCUCAUUUUAUUUCCCUUCAGUCCCGGCUAAUGAAAAGCACUUGUGUCCAGUAAACCCUUCCUUUGCUGCUUGUUAGCACACUCCGUGUUGGCUACUGAGGUCUGCUCCAAGGUGGGUGAGAACCAGCGAGAUGUCCACAGCAUCGCUGGCCCUGGCUGGCUGUUUCUCGGUCUGGGACCCGUAGAGACCCAAAGGUGUGUCAGGCCCUUGGAGCCCACUUCCCCCUCUCCCCUGUCCCUGCCUGUCUCAGCGUGCUGUGUAUCCUUUGGAUCAGCCUGCUGCCUGCCUGGCCUGGGCUAUGCUUCUAGAAUGUUUUCCCUGAUGUGAAGACCCUGGCCCUCAGGACUCUGGGCCACUGAUAAUACCAGGUUGGACAUGGUCUUGUUUGCUGUAUGCAGUGGCUUCAGAUGACAACACCCCAUCCCUAUUGCUCCAAACCUCACACCUCAGUGUCCAGAUCCCAGGCCCUCGUCUCGUUCCAGGAUGUCCCCAGCACGCAGCUCCACCCACCAACUGCAGGACCUGCUCAGUGGACAGUUCUAAGCAGGCAAAUGAAAGGGGCCAUCUUCUGUUCACAGAGUUCAGACAGGACUUUGGAGAAGCCACAUGGACCUGAGAGAAUCUGGAGACUGAGCUCAACGCCGCAUCACAGCGCGGUGGUCUGAGCAUCUUUCAACCCUUCCCUCCGAAGGCACCGAAGCCCAUGCUGAAGCUGCAACCUGACCCGGGGCCCUGCUUCCCAGACAGAGGUUUGUUCAUACAAUGCACUCGGGCCCUUCUUCUCAAGUUCUUCCUCCCCGUCCCAUGAGAGAAAGGGAUCAUUCAUAUCGACAAAGGGCCCGGGGUGCCUUGGACGGGGCCCAUUGUGAGGUUUGGCAUUGCCGCUGCCCCUGCUCAGGUUUCGCACUGAUCCCUCUUCUUUCAUCUGCUGAAAUGGAUUCUUCCUUAUUAGCUGGAACCUGCUCCUGCUCAGGGUGGGGCUCCCCAGGAACCAGUCCGGACAUUGUGAAGACCCUGGUGGCCCCGAAACUCGCCCUCACGUGAUGCCCUGAGAAUGUGGCAGUGGAGUCUGCCUGGGGAAGGCCCUCACCCUCACUCCCUCCUCCAACACACUGAGCACUGCCCCAAGUGCCAGGAGACCGCAGUGCAGUGCUUUCUGGUGAGGACUGUGCUGCCGCCCAGGAGGAGGCCCUGAGCCCCCACAGGCGGGUUCAGGCUCACGGCUUCUGCCCGGAGCAAACUCUCACUGGAAUCUGCUUCCCCGUUCCCUGCGAAAACAGGGAGCUCAUUCUGCUCCUAAGAACUUUAGAAGCAAUUUGUCAUCUCAGAUGUGCAGCUGGUCCCCAGCUUGGUAACAGGGCCCAGGAGUAAGAAUCAGGGAUUUACACACUUGUGUGAAGUUUAUGUCCAAACAACACCUUUAUGUCCACUAAAUGUAUCAUUUUUGAGACUUACAAGUAGAAGUGGUUCACAGCAGGACUGGCAAAACCCAUGGCUUUGUUGGUUAGGACUCAGUUAUUUCUGUAUCAUUCCAGGUGUUGGAGAUAGCCAGAGACAUUAUUUACUGGGUUGUGAAGUUCGGGUUGAUUAGUGCUCAAGCUGGUCUUCGAAGCAUGAAUAAAACAUGA